rnacentral:rRNA from 1 species
CCUGUAUGGGGGAUAACGUUUCGAAAGGGACGCUAAUACCGCAUACGUCCUACGGGAGAAAGCAGGGGACCUUCGGCCCUUGCGCUAUCAGAUGAGCCUAGGUCGGAUUAGCUAGUUGGUGAGGUAAUGGCUCACCAAGGCGACGAUCCGUAACUGGUCUGAGAGGAUGAUCAGUCACACUGGAACUGAGACACGGUCCAGACUCCUACGGGAGGCAGCAGUGGGGAAUAUUGGACAAUGGGCGAAAGCCUGAUCCAGCCAUGCCCGGCGUGUGUUGAAGAAGGUCUUCGGAUUGUAAAGCACUUUAAGUUGGGAGGAAGGGCAGUAAGCUAAUAUCUUGCUGUUUUGACGUUACCGACAGAAUAAGCACCGGCUAACUCUGUGCCAGCAGCCGCGGUAAUACAGAGGGUGCAAGCGUUAAUCGGAAUUACUGGGCCUAAAGCGCGCGUAGGUGGUUUGUUAAGUUGGAUGUGAAAGCCCCGGGCUCAACCUGGGAACUGCAUCCAAAACUGGCAAGCUAGAGUAUGGUAGAGGUGUGAAUUUCCCCCUGUGUAGCGGUGAAAUGCGUAAUUGACUG